rnacentral:rRNA from 1 species
CAGUAGCCGCGGUAAUACGUAGGUCCCGAGCGUUGUCCGGAUUUAUUGGGCGUAAAGCGAGCGCAGGCGGUUAGAUAAGUCUGAAGUUAAAGGCUGUGGCUUAACCAUAGUACGCUUUGGAAACUGUUUAACUUGAGUGCAAGAGGGGAGAGUGGAAUUCCAUGUGUAGCGGUGAAAUGCGUAGAUAUAUGGAGGAACACCGGUAGCGAAAGCGGCUCUCUGGCUUGUAACUGACGCUGAGGCUCGAAAGCGUGGGGAGCAAACAGGAUUAGAUACCCCAGUAGUCCCUGUCUCUUAUACA